UUCCUCAUUUCUAAUUUAGAGUUUGUACAAUGAAUAAAAAUCCCCUCGCAAAUGAAUCAAAGUCAUCGUCUUAUUUAGCUGUUUGUAAUAUUCAUCAGAAACCUUUUCGUUCGUGUUGAUUUCUUGAGGUAUGAGUAUUUAAUUUUUCAAAAAAUAAUCUUUGAUUUGUAUUUUCCCAUAUGUCGGUUCCUCUGUCAUACUUGGGUUUGAACCUCUCCGUUUAAAUUAAAUUCAUACUUUUUAAGUCUUAAAAUGAAAUAUUUGGAUGCUUGAUUACAAUGAGACAAUUAUCCGUCUAAGACUAAAAACUAUAUGAGUCACUGAAUGAAGCAGAUUGUUUAUUGGCAAAUAUUUUAUGCAUAUAUUCAUGACGGGAAUAUCCAAACACCUUAGUAUUGCAAAGCGAGUCAACAAAGAUCAAAUGGUUUAAAGGAGUGUAUAUUGAACAAUGUUGAAUAAGAUGGUACUUUUGGCAUAACAUAUGCCUUACAACAAUACAGUGGAAUAAAUACCCAUAUCUAAAGGUUCGAUUUUCCUAUGCUCAGUGUUAUAUUUUCAAAACCAUCAUCUUGACACAAUUAUCAUUUGGAAAUUUUUUUCUAUACCAUGUGAAAUCAAGCGUCCAGCAUUAAAAAUUGUGAUACAAAUUGGUACUAGGCCGGGGAAACCGUCGGGAACAUUACUUAUAAUCGGGUAACAUUUUUUCUCAUAGAAUGAUAAAAUUAACACACCUAAUUCAUGUGGUAAUUCAUGACAAAACACAGCUAUUGAAGUGGAUAACCCAACUGUUAUAUCUUUACUAAAGGCAGCCCCUAUAGCUAGACCAUCUGCAAAAUUAUGUAUGGCGUCCCCUACUAUCACCAUCCAAGCAAGGGCAGAUUUAUCUGAAAUAGAAUGCUAAAACUUAUAGUGACAUAUUAUGUUAUCAUUUAAAUCACUUGUUUUUCUAUGUACUGACUGAUAGUUUUAUAAUCUUGUACUUUUUCAUUUUUUAUUUUACAUUCUAAAUAACGUUUAAAUUUAUCAUAUUGAACAUGUUAUGCAUUAUUGUGUGCUUAAUUUUGAAUAAAAGAAAUGGAAAAUUGG